rnacentral:rRNA from 1 species
GACGAACGCUGGCGGCGUGCUUAACACAUGCAAGUCGAACGGAAAGGCCCUGCUUUUGUGGGGUGCUCGAGUGGCGAACGGGUGAGUAACACGUGAGUAACCUGCCCUUGACUUUGGGAUAACUUCAGGAAACUGGGGCUAAUACCGGAUAGGAGCUCCUGCUGCAUGGUGGGGGUUGGAAAGUUUCGGCGGUUGGGGCUGGACUCGCGGCUUAUCAGCUUGUUGGGGGGGUAGUGGCUUACCAAGGCUUUGGCGGGUAGCCGGCCUGAGAGGGUGACCGGCCACAUUGGGACUGCGAUACGGCCCAGACUCCUACGGGAGGCAGCAGUGGGGAAUAUUGCACAAUGGGCCGAAGCCUGAUGCAGCAACGCCGCGUGCGGGAUGACGGCCUUCGGGUUGUAAACCGCUUUCGCCUGUGACGGAGCGUGAGUGACGGUAAUGGGUAAAGAAGCACCGGCUAACUACGUG